CACGAAGAAGAUUGGCGUCUCAGCUUCUCCCUGCGGACAGUCGGUAAGUGUGCGAGUAACUCCGUGAUUGGGGUGAAGAACGUGAAAGCCUCGAAACUCUCUCUCUUUCUCUCUCGUCCCCGAGUGUGCAAAUAUCCGCCGAGAGCUUCCCGCGGUGUUAUGUCUUUAUUCGCACUGGGAAUACUCACGUAACCUCUCGCACAAGUAUACUCGACGAGGACGACUGGAGGCGCCGCGUCACGGAGCAGCUUCCAAACUCGCAGUUGGAUUCGUGCCCGCGACCGCAGUGGGAGUUUAGGCCUACGGACCGCGAGAUUACGUUCUCUCGUUUCGAGCCAAAACGAUUAUCGCCGAUGGAUUAUUCCCGCGAGUGAGCUGGCCUGCCGCGUUCUUUACUUGGCUGUGUACACAUGUCGACAUCGCUGCACCUACACAACACUGAUGGGCGAGGUGGAGCGGUAUGCAACGUCGAAGAACAUCGACAAGCUCCCUCACCUGCCGGUAUACAUGCAGGCGCAACGAGCGCUCGAUGGCCAAGGAAGAAAGAGACUCAGCGGACUGGACCGUUAUGCGCGUGGAGCUGCUGCUGCUGCUCUCUCGGGCCCUCAAAACCGCGUAACCAAGGGAGCUCGAUGUGCGCCAUGUGGAGCUCGCUGCAGUGAUUUCGUCGGAACCAAAAAUCAAUCGCUCGAAUUCUCGAAUAUAUCUGGGACAGCCUCGGAAGCAUAACGCAAAAGUAAGAAGAAAAAAAGAAGAAGUCUCUUGAAACUCCUUCGAGCAGCCGCGCAGUUAUUAUCGCUAUCCGCGCGCGAUAGCGCCUGCGAGUAAUAACGCGACACUCGAGCCAUAUCCGAGCAAACGACUCUCGCGCGCACAUCUCGGCGACGAAACAACUCGGCAUUGUUCGGCAGUCGUUUAAAACAAACGCAGCCGCGCGCACGCAUCUCCUAUCUCUGACCCUUUCCCCGCAUCGUAAGAGAGAGAGAGAGAGAGAGAGAGAGAGAGAGAGAGAGAGAGAGAGAGAGAGAGAGAGAGAGAGAGGUCGAGCCUGCUGGUGCUGCAGCAAAAUAUCCUCGCGCGUACGAUGCCCACACGCACAUAUCCACGCACAAAGAGCCGAGCUAUAUACGCCGCUGUGUUUAUGCAUGGAUGCAGGAAAGGCUGGAGUAUGUGUAUACCGGUGCGCGGGAGGCUGCUGCCGCGGCGUCGUCGUUGUUGUUGUAACGGCCCGGUACAGCGUGUAACGCCCGCUGCAUGAUGAACGAUGAAUAAUAAAGGACGCCGAUGAACAACAAAACGCGCUGCGGCCCGCGAUAUAAUGAUAGGAAGCUCGCCCGCGGUUGCUGCGAUGACGACGCCGGAUGGACGUAUCAUGACGCAAGAUCGAUGCCCCGUUGCCGCCGUCGACGGUUUAAAUUAAUGAGGACGAGCCGCCGCCAACCGGGAGCAGGCGCGUUGGGCGAGGAAAAAUUGCCGUCGUCUUGAAUUCCGAUCGAUGUGUGUUGUUCACUGUGUGCACAACAUGCACUGAUGAUUAUUCGUUGCUUUUCGAGCCUCGCCAAUUUGUAGCAACUCGCUCGAAACUCGGAAAAAGAGCGAUACGUAACGAUAAUUGGGACACGACGCUCUAACAAAGCGGAAGUAAACGGAUGCGGAUUUUUUAUAUACCCGAGCGGAUAAUCGUUGUAGCUUCGAGGCGGCAAAAGAGACUAAUUUCCAGUCGAAAGACCGGAUCGUAUACUUUCUGCCUCUAGCUUCACACAGACGCACGUGCGGAGCCACUUAACUUCCUCCCUGUUGAGCAACUCGCACAGAGGGGCCGUACAAAGAGUCCGUGGACUGCGCCGCACGUACAUGUACAGCCCGGUCCGCGCUCUCGAGCCAAAGUUACCGAAAUUACCGAAAGCUCGGCGAAAUUUUCGUUAUUAUAGCUCGCGCGCAUGCAGAGAGAAAGCCCAUCCCAGGCGAGGCUGAAGAGGCGGGCCGGGCGAGAGAGAGAGAGAGAGAGAGAGAGAGAGAGAGAGAGAGAGAGAGAGAGAGGAUCGAUGGUUAGGAAAGUUGGAGACAGUCCCGAAGACUCGAGGGCAUAUACGCCCGGAAACAAGGAGGAAAGGUGAGCCGUGCAUAUAUGUAAGCGCGGCUCCGGCUAUAUACGCGUACGCUCGAGCGAACCAAUCGCGGGCUGAGCUUAACAAGCCAGCAACUAUGCUACGUAGCAUAAAGCAUGUACUGGGAGGCUGCAGCAGCGCGCGGAGGGGUGUAUACUGGCCGGGCCGACUAGUAGCAGAGAGCGAGAGAGAGAGAGAGAGAGCAUUUCAGUUUCCUACUAUUCUCUCUUCCUCCGAGCUGUUCUGCUCUGCUCUGCGUUCGCUCCCUCUUUCCCUCUUCCGGCUGCGCCGCCGCUGCCGCUGCUGCUGCUGGGCCACCCACAGAAGCAUUUUCGCCCUCUCUCGCUCCCUCCCUAUCUAUCUCUAUCUCUCAUUCCCUCUAUUUCGCCGGCGCUGCUGCUCCGCUUCUCUCUUUCCCUCUCUGUCCAUUCCACUUUUGCCAGAAGCUCGUAGUCGCCCGGACGACGGAGUGGACCAGCAGCAGCAGUGGCGGCCGAUUUUGCAUUUAAAUUUGGUAAAUUUGCCGGAGUUGGCAAAUGAGCUGCGGGUAUGGGCAGCGCUCUCGCUCGCAUCUAAUACUACCGCUCUCUAGCUCUGCCGACUGAAUUUGUAUAUAUGUAGCGCGCGUGGAUAUAGAAGUCCAGCCGAUACACACACACAUACACACAGCGCGUCUAAUGCCUCUCUCUCUCUCUCUCUCUCUCUCUCUCUCUCUCUCUCUCUCUCUCUCUCUCUCGGGAGAGGACUGGUUUGUUUCACGCAUGUUGGUACAGUCGCGAACGAAAAUAUAAUGCACCGGAUGGCCGACUGCACAGCGCGCGCUUAUUAUUCCGGCCGUGCGAUAGAGAGACGAACAGAAAGAGAAAGAGAGAGAAAGGACGGAAGAAAAAGAGCUGGCGCGCGCCGCGGUCCUUUAUCGAGUUUUUCGCCGACCUUGUGUGCCGCGCGCGCGCUGCACAGUGUCGAUGCCCGAGCGAAGCGUUUUUUAGGUGAAGUUUAUACACACGUCAUACGGCUCUUUGUGCGCUUGAUCUUGUACGUUCGGCUUUCGAAUUGUUUCAAGCCGAUAUUCUUUUGCCGCGAUAAGCGCUAUUCGCAUCGAUCAUUGCGGUGAAUUUCGCCGGUUAUCAUCGGUUGGACGACAAAUAGUAACCCGGUGUGAAAUGAUCAUCCCUCCGUGGUACCACUUAAUUAUCGAUCAGCCAGUAGCUCAAGUAGUAAAGCCUCCGCUCGAGUCAGACGGGCGUCGACAGCGUCAACCGGUUCCAAUAAAAAAAGCAACUUCCAUCAAUUCCCUCUCCACCUCUCUCGAGCUCCGAUAGGCGAGGCCAUCACAAAUCAUCAUCAGCAGCGGCGGCGGCGGCGGCGGCAGCGAAAACCCCGGGCCGACUCCCGAAAGUUCUAUCGAUGACUGUACCGCGCAGCAACGGGAGAACGAGCGAGCGAGUGAGAGAGAGAGAGAGAACGAGCGCAGCCACACGCGGGAAAUAGUGCAUAGGAAAUCCAAACGUGUGUAGCUCUAUAGCUCGGCCAAAGAGAGAGAUAGCGAACGAACGAGAGAACUUUGGACAGCAUCCUAUAAUUUUAGCCAGCAGAGGGCAGCCCAGCCUGUCGCCCCCCCCCCCUGGUCUCGUCCCGCGUAUGUAUGCAUACACACACACACAUACACACGGGCGCAACGCGCGUCGGUCCUUUUCCCCCCGGGCCGCGCGCACUCUUCCCGCUCGUUCGCUCGGCCGCGUUUGUUCAUGUUCAGUGCUGUACCGCAGCGGUUGCGCGCAUUCCAUUUUACUAUGCUUCUCGCCCAACACCGCUGCUGCUGCAGCAGCAGCCUCGUUGCACCGCCUACUCUUCCGCGCGGCGUCGAAUAAUGCAGCUACGACGAGAGUGCAGGGCUUCUUUUGCCCUCGAGCUUUCAAAGCGUCUCGAUCGCAAUCCCGCAGGACGAUUGCGCGAGUGACGUAUUUUUUUUUAUUUUUUCCCUUUGCCACGUAUAAAACGUAGAGGUCUUUGGCUUUACCGAAGCGUAUACGUUGCGCAGUGGGUUAGGCGGAUAGAGCUUUACCGCGGGAGCGUUGACAAAACGAUGCGAAAAAUAUGUAUAGCGCUUCGGUAUACAUAAGCUGCCAGCGAUUCUCCGGGCACAGGUUUAUCGGACUGUGAGAUCGAGACACUUUGUCCGCGCGAUCGUAUGAAUGGGAGCAUUCGAGUUUUUACAGCGCCGGAGUUUUGAUACGAUUAAACGCAACGCACUUUUACGCCCGGCCCUGAUGACAGAGCUAUGCGACUCCGUUUUGAAUCGGACGCGUUACGCAUUCCUCUGUUUCUAAAUAAACGUCGAGGAACAAUGGAAAUUAUGCGCUAAUCGCAGAGCGAAGAAAUUACAUCGAGAGGGGAAGCUAAAAAUCAUCCCCGUCGUGGCUCUCCCAUUUCGCAUCGAAAUUCCGGCUCGCGACUCGAAAAUAAAUAAAGCGCGUGUAAUCGGCGUGUUCGGUGUGCGGCGUACAUCGCCGAACACGGGAAAGCUCGCGACUCCUGCUGCAGCAGCGCGGCGCCAUCCUAAUGCAACGUGACGUAACGUAAUACGUCGAAAAUAAUAGGCUGACUGGCUGCCGCCUCGGGUGCGUGCAUGAGUGUGUGUGCGCGCAGUGCAGCUAUGGGGGUGGGGGCGAAACGAGUAUAAGAGAAGCCUACGCUGUGGCGCGGGAUAUAUAAAGAGGGACACAGAGAGAGAGAGAGAGAGAGAGAGAGAGAGAGAGAGAGAGAGAGAGAGAGUAGCGUACGAAAAGAAGAGAGAGGGAGAGAGGACGGGAGGCAGGCAGGGGGUGUCCUGUUCAUUAUGCAGCGACGCGCUGCAGAGCCUGCAAAGCAGUCGCCGCCGCCGCUAUGUGCAACGUAUGUACAAUCGGGGAGUCCCGGUUAAUGAGUCGGCCGAACACAAAGCGAGAAACAUCCAUUAAAUAAUGCGUAAUGCAAUGCCGUAACAGGCUCGCCGCCCGGGAGUCGCGUUGCGCCGCCGCUUUUCCCUCUUUCUGGCGCGGGCAAAAAGAUACCGGCUUUUCGCGAAAAUCGCCCACCCCUUACCUUCCCGCGUGUGCAAGAGAGAGAGGGUCAAAUCGCCGACGAUUUUUUUGCUCUCUUUUCGUUGUUAUUCGCGAGCUGCCGCUGCAACUGCAGCGAGUCCUUUGUUGUCUUGGCUAUUACUAUGCGCGCGACGGGGUUAAUGAGGAGAUUUUUUUUUUGCUGGAUUCGACUUUUUUCGAAACGCCCGGAUUCCACUGUGGAUCCAUGAUUUUCAUGAGUAUUGUUAUUGCGGAUGACUGCGAAACCAAACAGUUUUGGACUGGAAGAUAGGUGGCGCAUGGGCGUUUUGUCGUUUCCUUCAUAUAGAAAUCAGCUCUCUGAAGAUACAUAUAGCAGCGUGUGAGCUAUGCUAAAACUACCUUCUUGGGCCUGCUUAAUUAGGCUGCGCAUGCUGUAACUGCAAUAAAUGACGAUAUUCAGAUCGGAAGUUCCGGAUCGUUCUCACACGUAUAAGUGCUCUUUUAGUAUCUUUAGUGCUAUGAAUGAAACGAGUCUACACUUACUGACUAUAUAUACCUUCCCUACGCGCUG